UUGGACACGCACGUUAGUGUUCUUUGCAACUGCCCAUGUGACCUACCACUUGGUGACCUCGUGAGCACAUGCAUCUGCAUCAUUUCCCAUCUAUUUAAUUCACCCUCGAUCCCUUUUUGUCGCCUCCUUGCCGUCCUCCUCUUCAAUUCGCAUUUCCCUUCUCCUCCUCCAAUUCCAAAUCCAACCCCAAACUCCUCCCCUGCAAAUUACAAGAGAUAAAUUAAGAGACAUAUACAUGGGCAACGCCAUAGGCGCCAAGAAGAAGUCCGCGAAGGUGAUGAAGAUAGACGGCACGACCUUCAAGGUAAAACCACUCGUCCUGGCCAUGAAGCUGCUCCGCGACCAUCCCGGUCACGACCUCCUCGAAUCCGACGACGUCAAGUGCCACGGCGUACGCGCUAGGCCCCUCCACCCCACCGCCCCACUCAAGCCUGGCAAACUCUACUUCCUAGUGGAGCUUCCCCUCCGGCUACAGCGCAGAGCCUGGUCGGGGAAUCUCCAGGUAAGCGCCAAGGAGCGGCUGGAGAGCCUCAAGAUCAUCCGCCGCUCCAUGUCAGAUAUGUCGCUGGCCAACGAGGCCUCUGCCUACGCCACCGCCGGUGAUGUCGAGGAGACUAAGGGCGGAGGCGUGCGCAUGCGGGUGAGGCUGCCGAAAGUGCUGGUGGAGAAGCUGAUGCAGGAGAGCAAGGACGCGACUGAGGCGGCAGAGAAGAUCAUGAAGCUUUGCGCCGAGAAGGACUGCGGCGCCACCAGGGCGGUUCACCAGACUCUAUCCUCCGUCAAAUCAGCCCAGCAGGAGGUACAAUUCAAAAUCUUGACUUAAUCUGUGCCAAUUUUCAUUUACGUAACGACCACAUGACUUCCGAUUUUGAAUAGUCAUCUCCAUUAACUAAAUGGAGAACAAUUACCGACUCCACAUGGCCACGAGAACCCUUACUCGUGACUCUCACUUUGUCUUCAUAGAAGCACGCAAGGUUUGCUCUCGCGCCAGACGAGAUCAUUGGAUGAUAAAUCUGUUGAGAGACACAAUUAGUUUUUAACUCACAUACAUCAAGCAGUGAAGAGAGAUUUGAGGACGAGAAGGAUUGUUGGCGGUGGUGAUACGGUGCGGGUGGAACGUGAGAAGCUGCUGAACAUGGCUUCCUGUUGCCCGUCAAGCUUUCUAUCUUAAUUGUGUUGCUUCUUACCUGCAAACAUAAUUUAUCCUCCAUGUCAUGUAUGGACGGAAGGAUGGAUGGAUGUGGGGUUUUGUUUAUGGUACUGUAAAUCCAGGGCAUCGAUCUCUUAUCUCGGUUGUUAAUUUUCCUUAUUGAUAGUGAUGCCUCUGUUCUUCUUUA